rnacentral:ncRNA from 1 species
UAACUUAAAGGGGUGUCCCCGAAAGAGGAGCUAGGGGCGCGAGGCAACUCUCUCUAAGGAGCUCGGCAAAAUAGCCCUGUAACUUCGGGAGAAGGGAUGCCUCCUCACAAAGGGGGUUGCAGUUACCAAGCUCGGACGACUGUUUACCAAAAACACAAGUCUCCACAAAGUCAUAAGACCAUGUAUGGGGGGCUGACGCCUGCUUAGUGCCGGAAGGUAAAGGAAGUUGGUGACCUGAUGCCAGCGAUCAAAGCCCCAGUGAACGGCGAUUGUAACUAUAACGAUCCUAAGGUGGUGAAAUUCCUCGUUGGGUAAGUUGCAACCCACACAAAAGGUGUAACGAUCUGGGCAUUGUCUCGAAGAGAGGCCUGGUGAAA